GGCGAGAUGGCCGAGUGGUUAAGGCGACAGAUUUAAGAGAUAUCUCUUAGAUCUUAUCUAAGAUUUAUCUAAAUCCCUGUUGACGAAAGUCGCGUGGGUUCGAACCCCACUCUCGCCA